CAACGCUCCCCAAUGUAGCCUGGUACGCAACUGCAACGUGUCAAAGAAAAGCUUGUUUCAAGGCGUAGGACUCCAUGUCGGGAAGGUAGAAGCAGAUCCCCUCAUACAGACAGUAAGAUUCRUGGCUGGAGGGACACCUCUCCGCUGAGUUACUGCUGUGGCGCCGGGUGGUUACAUCAACAGGACUGGGAGACGUCAUCCAUGGGCCCAUGACAGUCUGUAUGAAGAUACACUGCGAGCUCACCUUCCCUCAGGAGCUUCCUGGCGCACUCCAGCUCUUGGCAGACA